CCUACGGGAGGCAGCAGUAGGGAAUAUUGCUCAAUGGGGGAAACCCUGAAGCAGCAACGCCGCGUGGAGGAUGAAGGUUUUAGGAUUGUAAACUCCUUUUGUGAGAGAAGAUAAUGACGGUAUCUCACGAAUAAGCACCGGCCAACUCCGUGCCCGCAGCCGCGGGAAUACGGAGGGUGCAAGCGUUACUCGGAAUUACUGGGCGUAAAGGGUGCGCAGGCGGGCUUGUAAGUCAGAUGUGAAAUCCUGGAGCUUAACCCCAGAACUGCAUUUGAAACUGUGAGUAUAGAGUGUGGGAGAGGUAGGUGGAAUUCUUGGUGUAGGGGUAAAAUGCGUAGAUAUCAAGAGGAAUACUCAUUGCGAAGGCGACCUACUGGAACAUUACUGACGCUCAUGCACGAAAGCGUGGGGAGCAAACAGGAUUAGAUACCCUUGUAGUC
rnacentral:rRNA from 1 species